rnacentral:lncRNA from 10 species
AGCUGCAGAGAAGAGAAAGCAAAGUACAUGGGCUAAGGUGUGGUUUCCCCACACACGGAUGCCACCGCCUUCCCUGCGGUCACAGGAGCCACCUGCCAGGUACCUCUGUGCCGUUCCCGCGGAUGAUUUCAUUGGGCGUUGGGUAGAACUGACUCUCCAUCUGCACGUGUCGCUUCCCCUCUUCAGCGACUUGCACCUUCAGCACUCGGAACUUGGACCCUCCGAGAUCCAGGGAAAGGAACUCCCCAUUUUCUAUUAAGAAACAAAUUCAGUUUCCAUUUAUUGAGGGUCUACUACAGAUAUGGCAAGCUCUGCAUUAGAGGUUGGACAUAUAAUCAACGUCUUCAAAUCACAGCCACUAGGUAUCAUUAUGCUCAUUUGCCAAGGCUGAGGACUCUGGCCAUUUCUCAGAGCCCUCGAGGUAAGGCGCAGAGCUGAGAUGUGAACUAAGUCAGCCUGACUCUGCAGCCUGAGCCCAACCCACUGGCUCAUGCUGUAGGAAUGUGCAUGUCAACUGGAGAGGGCAAAUGUGAGCACAGCCCUUGCGGUGGUAUGAGAGGUGGCCUCGACGGUGGAGCCCAUCCUGGGAUGCCAUCACUGGGAAGAGAGAGCUGGUGCUCCCAGCCUGGGGAAACUCGGAUAAAGGUGACAGGAGGCUCCAUCCCAGGCACAUUCCCGGUGAAAGGGCAUUUUAUCCAGGGUGAAGAACACGUGCUACUGUCUACAGAGUGCGUCCACGUACGUCACCUCUUCUCAUCGCCACAGCAUCCCUUUGAGGCAGCCACGUAAGGCCAAAGUUCUUGUCCCCAGAGCCAUGAAAAAUACACACUGAAAACCUCCCAGUUCUCCUGUGGAUGAACAAUCUGCAGAUUUUUAGAAAUUGUUCCAGGGUCUCAGUAGUAACCCUUGCAGGCACCGCUGGCCCAGGAUCUGGACAAUUCUAGAGGCAGGAAGCACAGAGACGAAGAAGGGGACUCACUGCCUGACCGCAGAGAAACGAGCUGUGCCUUUUGACCAGAUGGAGAAACCAAGGCACAGAGCCCAACUGGGACGCAGUGAAAUCGAGAUUUGAACGCAGGCAGUCUAGCUGCAGAGUUCUUGCUUGCCCGCUGUGCUACACUGGCUAGGCUGGAAACAAGGCACGGGGAGACUUGGGGCCUCAGCUGGAAAAAUGGCCCUAAGCUCUUUCUAACACAGUGGAAAGUGCACAGGCCCUGGGGUCCUACUUUGGCUUUUCUUAAACUGCAGGUAAAGGUCCAAGUCUAUAUUCAUAUCUGUAAAAGCUUCAUAGCUAUGUCAGUGGUCACAGUGAGAAAGAAAGCAAAUUAUCACACAAGGAAAGGCAUGUGGUCUACAGUGGGCACACUAGAAGCAUCUCCUGAAGCUCAGCCUUUCCCUGGCUGGGGACCCCUCUUCGCUCACCCAACUUGGUCUCUUGGGAUAAGAAAAUGUGUGCAGACCUUUCAGUCCACUCAGUAAGGCAUGAUCCUAAACCAUUAGAAAGUACCUGUUCCAUGUACUGGAAUUAAAGGAACAGUUGGGAAUUUUAUGGAAAUUCUAUUCCUGUUACUAAAGAAAACAGCUCUUGAAUUCUGCCCUGUAUUCUUUUUAAUGGUAAGUCCAAAGUUAAGUCGUCAUAACAUAAAUCAGUGUGACCUGCUGGUAUUCCACUUGCUGCAAAAGAAUCAGAAACUGUGUGGGAGAGCAAACUUCCAUAAUAAGAAAACCAAUGUAGAGACUUCCAAACGCUGCCAGUGGUUACAGUCACAAUGGUGUCUCUAUCGGAGCAGCCACAAAUGAAGCAGAAAUGCUAACCUCAGCAAGUUUCAAAAGAAUGCUGCUAAUCAUUUUUACAGGUUUAUUCUGAACCGAAGACAAGGAAUGCUCAGGAAGAAAUUCUGACAUGAUUUCUAAAUCACAACUGUACAUUAAGGGUCAUAUUUGCAAAACACCUAUCAAGGAAAGAAAAGCCAUACAAGAAAAUGCAGUUCAUGUGACUUUUAACAUUUUUCAGAAUAAUUACAAUCUCAAUUGCACAAAAUAACCAACUUUUCAAAGCAAAUGAGACUUCUGGUUAAACACGGCAUUAACCUACAAGGACAAAAAGAAAGGAAACAGUGACUGAUAAGAGAUCUUAACAUAAUUCUGGAAGACAGGAAGCUCACGGAAGUAAUUGCUUAGUAGAGCAAACACUGAAACCUGAGUGCCCGCAGAGGGUGACUCGGGUGAGAAAGGAGCUGUGACGUUUGUAAAACUCUAAAAUGCUCAGGAAUCAGAGGUCUGGGGCAAGACAUAGAGCCAAAAACAAGAGAUUGGUUAAAAAGCUAUAUAAAAAAGCUUGGCCAGGCACGGUGGCUCACCCCUGUAAUCCCAGCAUUUUGGGAGGCCAAGGCAGGUGGAUCAUUUGAGGUCAGGAGUUCGAGACCAGCCUGGCCCAGGUGGUACCCCCAUCCCUACUAAAAAUACAAAAAAAAAUUAGCCAGGCAUGGUGGUAGACACCUCUAAUCCCAGCUACCCAGGAGACUGAAGCACAAGAAUAGCUUGAACCUGGGGAACAGAUUUUGCAAUGAGCUGAGAUUGCACCACUGCACUCAAGCUUGGGCGACAGACCCAGACUCCAUCUCAGCGGAAAAAAAAAAAACCCCAAAAAAACCCAAACCCACAGGUAUGGAAAAGGGAAAACUAUAGAGACAGUAAACAAGUCAGUAGUGGCCAGGGAUUUGGAAAGGUGGGGGAUGCUGAAUAAGUGAAACGCAAGGGCGUUUUUAGGGCAGUGAAACUAUUCUGUAUGACACUGUAACGGCAAAUACAUGACACACUUUCAAAACCCAUAGAAUUUGACAGCACAAAGAAUGAACUUUAAUGUACAUACAUUCAAAAAAACAUUUAGGAGGUCAGCGACGCAACACAGACUGUGACAUGAGUCUAACUGUGUUGCAAGUGUGUGAAAUAGCCUCACUGAAGGGGAAGGGGAGGGAAAAUAUGCUGACCUAAGAAACUUUGGAAAUUAAUAGAGUAAGACUACAAGUAAAAGGAAGUGUAUGUAGCACUGUAUUCUGAUUGAUAAAGUUGCUUCCUGCAAGAGCACGCUUAACAAUUCUGAAACCACUACACAAGAAUACUGGAAUUGAACAAUUAAGUACAUGGAUGGUGGAUGGCGGGAGGGAGGUUUCUUGCUGCUGGAGUGAGAGGCUUCAAGCAGGGGAGAAGGCUAGAAUGAUCCAUGUCACUGGAUUAGAAUUGAGGACAUCAGUAUACACUCAUGUUUAGCUUGAUAUUCAUAUAGAUGACUAUACAUAUAUGUUUAUAUAAAGAUUUGAAGACGUGUAUAUAGCUUAGUAUACACGUGCAUAUGUCCUUGCUUUGUCAGCUGAGAAACACUAGAAGUAAUGACACCCAGUAGCAACAAGCACACCUAGUGCCCAGAUCAAAGAACCAGGUCUAUACAAGAUGGUCCUGGCGCAUCUUGUAGUGCCAGAAAGGAAGGAACUAAUCAACAAAACAAAAACCAAAUGAUACGGAUGUGUCAAAGGAACACAGGAGCCAACUGAAAGUGAAAAAGUUCCUAAUAACCAAAGCUAGAAAACAUUGAUAGGAGUGUUAAAAAAAAGAAAGAAAGAAAAAAUUGGGCAAGAUAAAGUAUGAUUGGAUUAUAACCCAAAGUCUACAUUUCCAUUAGCCCAUACUGAUGUUAACAAAUAAUUGUAUAAAUAUAUAAGUGAGGGAGAAAGGACCAAUCUCCCAUGCAGAAGAAUGAACACAGAUACUCCACCCUCAAAGAGGUGGAGCACAGUAUACACAGUGAUUCUUUCCAGACAGUUCAGUAUGGAAAAUGAGAAAAGGGUAACAUGACAGUGAAGAAACCUGACACGUUGUCCUCAGGCAUGUGAUGAAGGUCAACUUCAGCAGGGUGAAGUCAUGUUGACAGUACAGAUCCGUGAUAUGAGGUGAUAAGACCAGCACCUUACCUCUGGGCUCUUUCUCCCAAAACCCAAACCCUAGUCUAAUCAUAAGAAAAACAUCAGACAAAUCCCAACUGAUGAAUAGUCUAUAGAAUACGUGAUUAGUACUUAAAGCUGUUGAGAUCAUCUACAGCAAGUCUGAGAAACUGUCACAGCCAAGAGGAGCUUAAGGAGACGACUAAAUGUCAUGUGGUGUCUUGGAUGGGAUCCAAAAGAGAAGAAGGCCACUGGGUAAAAACUAAGGAGAUCUAAAAACCUGUGGCCUUUAGUUAAUAAUAAUGUAUCAGUCUUGGUUCAUUAAUUAUAACAAACGUACCAUACUAAUGUAAGAUGUUAAUGGGGGAAAUGUAAGAUGUUAAUAGGGGAAAUGUGUUGGGUAUAUGGGAAUUCUUUGUAUUAUCUUUGCAAUUUUUCUGCAAAUCUAAAACUAUCCUAACUUUUUUUUUUUAAGUUUAUGUUUAAAAAACCUUACAGGCCAGGCGUGGUGGCUCACGCCUGUAAUCCCAGCACUUUGGGAGGCCAAGCUGGGUGGACCUCCUGAGGUCAGAAGUUUGAGACCAGCCUGGCUAACGUGGCGAAACCUCAUCUCUA